rnacentral:rRNA from 1 species
GACGAACGCUGGCGGCAGGCUUAACACAUGCAAGUCGAGCGCCCCGCAAGGGGAGCGGCAGACGGGUGAGUAACGCGUGGGAAUCUACCCAUCUCUACGGAAUAACGCAUGGAAACGUGUGCUAAUACCGUAUACGUCCUUCGGGAGAAAGAUUUAUCGGAGAUGGAUGAGCGCCGCGUUGGAUUAGCUAGUUGGUGGGGUAAAGGCCUACCAAGGCGACGAUCCAUAGCUGGUCUGAGAGGAUGAUCAGCCACACUGGGACUGAGACACGGCCCAGACUCCUACGGGAGGCAGCAGUGGGGAAUAUUGGACAAUGGGCGCAAGCCUGAUCCAGCCAUGCCGCGUGAGUGAUGAAGGCCCUAGGGUUGUAAAGCUCUUUCACCGGUGAAGAUAAUGACGGUAACCGGAGAAGAAGCCCCGGCUAACUUCGUGCCAGCCGCCGCCGUAACAC